rnacentral:rRNA from 1 species
AGCGAACGCUGGCGGCAGGCUUAACACAUGCAAGUCGAACGCCAUCUUCGGAUGGAGUGGCAGACGGGUGAGUAACGCGUGGGAACGUACCCUUUGGUUCGGAAUAUUCUCGGGAAACUGAGAGCAAUACCGGAUAAGCCCUACGGGGGAAAGAUUUAUCGCCAAAGGAGCGGCCCGCGUCAGAUUAGGUAGUUGGUGGGGUAAAAGCCUACCAAGCCGACGAUCUGUAGCUGGUCUGAGAGGACGACCAGCCACACUGGGACUGAGACACGGCCCAGACUCCUACGGGAGGCAGCAGUGGGGAAUCUUAGACAAUGGGCGCAAGCCUGAUCUAGCCAUGCCGCGUGAGCGAUGAAGGCCUUAGGGUUGUAAAGCUCUUUCAGUGGGGAAGAUAAUGACUGUACCCACAGAAGAAGCCCCGGCUAACUCCGUG